UGCCGAAUGAGUUUAAGCUCAAAACAUCCUGCAAAUAUACAUACACAAAAUGGGGUGGAAAAAGAAAGGGGAAAAAAAAAAAAAAAAAAAAAAAAGGAAAAGGAAAGAAAUGUAAAAAGUUUCUGUACUUUUUUUUUUUUUUUUUUUUUUCUUUUUUUCUCCCUUUCUUUACAUUCCGCUUUAUCCCUAUGUUGUGUAAUUUUUUCAUAACAGGAAGGAAGGUCUGAGAUGCUGCCAAUAAAGAAGACACAAAGAGGGAAAAGGACCAAACAUGUGGUUACAAUGUUUGUCUAAAAUUUUGUUCCCACAUGGUUUGAUUUUUCUCCCCUUUUUUGUUUCAUUCCUUGCGAAUUCUUCUUUAAACUUUUUUUGAGAAAAAAAAUAUUGAAAAAGUAUUAAUUAGCUACCAGAAAUCCCAAUCAUACAUUUUUGGUCUGUUCCCUUUCUCUUUUUCCUGGAAGGGGAAAGGAGAAGACCAGUGUAUGGUUUUGAAAAAGCUAAUAAGCAAGUAUACGCAAUUGAGUUCGAUUUUUGAGAUUUUUCGAUCGUCCUAAUUGUGUACCUUCCUCUUUCCAUGUAUGUGUGUGUAGUGGGGGAGCUUUUUCCCCCCGUUCCCACCUCCUUGGAACAGAAGAAACGGUCAACACUUUUGGACACUUCCGAGAAAUAACCCAAUUCAGACUACUCGUAAAUUCAUUCGUACAG
rfam:Plasmodium knowlesi strain H chromosome 4, complete genome